rnacentral:rRNA from 1 species
UCUGUAGGUGGUUUAAUAAGUCAACUGUUAAAUCUUGGGGCUCAACCUCAAAAUCGCAGUCGAAACUAUUAGACUAGAGUAUAGUAGGGGUAAAGGGAAUUUCCAGUGGAGCGGUGAAAUGCGUAGAUAUUGGAAGGAACACCGAUGGCGAAGGCACUUUACUGGGCUAUUACUAACACUCAGAGACGAAAGCUAGGGUAGCAAAUG